GCCUCGGUAGCUUAGUUGGUAGAGCACUACAUUGGUAAUGUAGAGGUCCUGGAUUCGACUUCCAGCCGAGGCU
rnacentral:tRNA from 1 species